rnacentral:rRNA from 1 species
CCUAGGGGGGCAGCAGUAGGGAAUAUUGCUCAAUGGGGGAAACCCUGAAGCAGCAACGCCGCGUGGAGGAUGAAGGUUUUCGGAUUGUAAACUCCUUUUGUUAGAGAAGAUAAUGACGGUAUCUAACGAAUAAGCACCGGUUAACCACGUGCCAGCAGCCGCGGUAAUACGGAGGGUGCAAGCGUUACUCGGAAUCACUGGGCGUAAAGAGCGCGUAGGCGGGAUAGCAAGUGAGAUGUGAAAUCCUAUGGCUUAACCAUAGAACUGCAUUUGAAACUGUUAUUCUUGAGUAUGGGAGAGGUAGGUGGAAUUCUUGGUGUAGGGGUGAAAUCCGUAGAGAUCAAGAGGAAUACUCAUUGCGAAGGCGACCUACUGGAACAUAACUGACGCUGAUGCGCGAAAGCGUGGGGAGCAAACAGGAUUAGAUACCCGUGUAGUC